CCUGAAGUGUCUUUGGAGACAUCUGAGAUUCAGUGGCCUUUGGGGAUCCCCAAGCUUCAGAUGUGACAUAAAAGCUUAUCCAAAGUCAGCAGGAUUGCUCAGAAUGGAGAACUGUACAGCCUGGAGAUUCUCCUGUGACAGCUGAUGAUGAAGUGAAUUUGCUCUACAUAACUGACAGUUGCUGCUGUUUCCAUAGCCCAGGGAUUAUUGCAAGGCUUCUGACUUGGCACUGCCUGUCACAGGGAGGUGCUGCCAACCUUCAUGACUCCCAGCAUCUCUUGGCUCUGGACUCCCAGGCACUGGCCCCCAAUCCUUAAGGGUCUGGUGCUCAGGGUACUGCAGACAUCGUCUGCAUGUGGCAUGGUUCAAAGGAGGACAUGGAUUAGGACUUCAGCAUUUCUCCUUCCUGGAAAAACACUGAAUUUGUCCAGUAGUUGCUGGUGAGUGCAGGUGGUGAAGCUUUCUUGCUGUGGGAUGGGUGUGGGAUCUCUAAAUGAAAUGGUAUUAUAUUAAAAAUCACUCUUUUUCUGUUGACUUGUUCUUCUCCUUUGAGAAAUACUUUGCUUAUCAUGCUUCUGUCAUUUAAGUAGAUGUCAUUAAUUAUCUGGAAAUAUUGACUUUUCAGACUGAGGGCAAAUGGAGAAGAGAGGCUCUGGGCUCGCAGUUUAUUGCUUGUCUGCUCAGACAUGCUGUAGGGGGCUGUCCCCAUCCUCCUCAGGAUGGAUUUUGCUCAAGUAUCUCCUAAAACUAUGCUGAGACUACACACUAAGACAGUACACAGUUCUGGAUAUUUGCUGGCAAAGGUAGUUUAGGGUCUCCUCUCUGCCUCUGG
rnacentral:lncRNA from 1 species